UGACGGGAGCAUAAUCGACUCCCGUGGUGGUGACGGAUAACGGAGGAUCAGGGUUCGACUCCGGAGAAGGGGCCUGAGAAAUGGCCACUACGUCUAAGGAUGGCAGCAGGCGCGCAAAUUACCCACUCUCGGCUCGAGGAGGUAGUGACGAGAAAUAACGAGACUGUUCUCUUUGAGGCCGGUCAUCGGAAUGGGUACAAUUUAAACCCUUUAACGAGUAUCAAGCAGAGGGCAAGUCUGGUGCCAGCAGCCGCGGUAAUUCCAGCUCUGCUAAUACAUAGAAUUAUUGCUGCGGUUAAAAAGCUCGUAGUUGGAUUCGUAUCGGUACCUUGGAACCCUUCGGGUGUUUCUGGGUGUUAUCGAUUUAUCGUAAUGUUCGGUUUUGAGUCCUUAACAGGAUUUUUAACAGUCAUUGCAAGUUUACUUUGAACAAAUCAGAGUGCUUCAAACAGGCGUUUUCGCUUGAAUGAUCGUGCAUGGAAUAAUAGAAAACGAUUUCGGUUCAGUUUUAUUGGUUUUACGGACUGAGAUAAUGGUUAACAGAGACAAACGGGGGCAUUUGUAUGGCCCCGUGAGAGGUGAAAUUCUUGGACCGUGGCCAGACAAACUACAGCGAAAGCAUUUGCCAAGAAUGUCUUCAUUAAUCAAGAACGAAAGUCAGAGGUUCGAAGGCGAUCAGAUACCGCCCUAGUUCUGACCGUAAACGAUGCCAACUAGCGAUCCGCCGAUGGAAAUUAUAUUGCCUUGGUGGGGAGCUUCCCGGAAACGAAAGUCUUCCGGUUCCGGGGGAAGUAUGGUUGCAAAGCUGAAACUUAAAGGAAUUGACGGAAGGGCACCACCAGGAGUGGAGCCUGCGGCUUAAUUUGACUCAACACGGGGAAACUCACCCGGCCCGGACACUGUGAGGAUUGACAGAUUGAUAGCUUUUUCAUGAUUCAGUGGAUGGUGGUGCAUGGCCGUUCUUAGUUCGUGGAGUGAUUUGUCUGGUUUAUUCCGAUAACGAGCGAGACUCUAACCUACUAAAUAGCUGGUACAUACUCUUAGUGUAUACAGCUUCUUAGAGGGAUUUGCGGUGUUCAGCCGAAAGAAAUUGAGCAAUAACAGGUCUGUGAUGCCCUUAGAUGUCCGGGGCUGCACGCGCGCUACACUGGCAAAAUCAACGUGCUUGUCCUACCCUGAAAGGGGCGGGUAAACCAUUGAAAAUUUGCCGUGAUUGGGAUCGGAAAUUGCAAUUAUUUUCCGUGAACGAGGAAUUCCAAGUAAGUGCGAGUCAUC
rnacentral:rRNA from 1 species